rnacentral:rRNA from 1 species
UACGAAGGGGGCUAGCGUUGCUCGGAAUCACUGGGCGUAAAGCGCACGUAGGCGGGUCUUUAAGUCGGGGGCGAAAUCCUGAGGCUCAACCUCAGAACUGCCUUCGAUACUGAUGAUCUUGAGUCCGGGAGAGGUGAGUGGAACUGCGAGUGUAGAGGUGAAAUUCGUAGAUAUUCGCAAGAACACCAGUGGCGAAGGCGGCUCACUGGCCCGGUACUGACGCUGAGAUACGAAAGCGUGGGGAGCAAACAGG